UCGAAACCUGCAAGGCAGACCCGUGAACAUGUUAAACAAAUCUGUGGCUGUGAUUUUGGACGUCAUCGCGUCCAACUCAUGGUCUGUAACCCCACACGAUGCAAAAGUCUGUUGGGUGAACUAACCUCUCGGCGCGGCAAGCGUCAAGGAAAAAGAAACCGAUCGCCUCUCCAUGUGGGCGCCGUACGCGGUGCCCCGUAUGUGGAGGAGCAUCUAUACAGAUAGUCAUAACGACUCUCGGCAACGGAUAUCUCGGCUCUCGCAUCGAUGAAGAACGUAGCGAAAUGCGAUACUUGGUGUGAAUUGCAGAAUCCCGUGAACCAUCGAGUCUUUGAACGCAAGUUGCGCCCAAAGCCAUCAGGCUGAGGGCACGUCUGCCUGGGCGUCACACAUCUCGUCGCCCCCCAACGUCGUCUUUCCCCAAUUAUUGUCGGGAAACGACGCAGAAGCGUGGGGGUGGAAAUUGGCCUUCCGUUAUCAGCGCGUAGCGGCUGGCCCAAAUAUGAAACCGUGCCGAUGAACGUGACACGAUACGUGGUGGUUGGAAUCCUCAACUCGCAAACUGUCGUGCCGUGACUGUACAUCGUGACACGGCCUGGACCCCCAAUGGCUGAAAAUGCCCUCGACCGUA
rnacentral:rRNA from 1 species